GACGAACGCUGGCGGCGUGCCUAAUACAUGCAAGUCGAGCGCAGGAAAUCGACGGAACCCUUCGGGGGGAAGUCGACGGAAUGAGCGGCGGACGGGUGAGUAACACGUAAAGAACCUGCCCUCAGGUCUGGGAUAACCACGAGAAAUCGGGGCUAAUACCGGAUGGGUCAUCGGACCGCAUGGUCCGAGGAUGAAAGGCGCUUCGGCGUCGCCUGGGGAUGGCUUUGCGGUGCAUUAGCUAGUUGGUGGGGUAAUGGCCCACCAAGGCGACGCUGCAUAGCCGACCUGAGAGGGUGAUCGGCCACACUGGGACUGAGACGCGGCCCAGACUCCUACGGGAGGCAGCAGUAGGGAAUCUUCCACAAUGGACGAAAGUCUGAUGGAGCAACGCCGCGUGAACGAUGAAGGCCUUCGGGUCGUAAAGUUCUGUUGUAAGGGAAGAACAAGUGCCGCAGGCAAUGGCGGCACCUUGACGGUACCUUGUGAGAAAGCCACGGCUAACUACGUGCCAGCCGCCGCAGUAA
rnacentral:rRNA from 1 species